GACGAACGCUGGCGGCGUGCUUAACACAUGCAAGUCGAACGGAAAGGCCCUGCUUUUGUGGGGUGCUCGAGUGGCGAACGGGUGAGUAACACGAGAGUAACCUGCCCUUGACUUUGGGAUAACUUCAGGAAACUGGGGCUAAUACCGGAUAGGAGCUCCUUCUGCAUGGUGGGGGUUGGAAAGUUUCGGCGGUUGGGGAUGGACUCGCGGCUUAUCAGCUUGUUGGUGGGGUAGUGGCUUACCAAGGCUUUGACGGGUAGCCGGCCUGAGAGGGUGACCGGCCACAUUGGGACUGAGAUACGGCCCAGACUCCAACGGGAGGCAGCAGGGGGGAAUAUGGCACAAUGGGCCGAAGCCGGAUGAAGCAGCGCCGCGUGCGGGAUGACGGCCUUCGGGUUGUAAACCGCUUUCGCCUGUGACGAAGCGUGAGUGACGGUAAUGGAUAAAGAAGCACCGGCUAACUACGUG
rnacentral:rRNA from 1 species